rnacentral:lncRNA from 1 species
CUCAUACUCUAGGCAAAGACAUCUUCUCCUUCUUCAUCCGGAUGCUAAGAUAAACCUCGCGAAUGGAUAUCACUACUAGCUCCUUUUACUUGACUCCGGUCGCAAUCCAUUGCCUGCCUAUCCUCACAAUGCUCAUUAGCUUCUUUAAGGAAGUUGGAAUGUUGAAAGCUCUUAGACAAUCAUCUUAAAUCCUCGGGCCACGAAGUAAAGUUACGAACUCUUCCAUCGCCCUUCUUGUGUUUCUCAGAAUAUAUUCAAGCAGCCGUAUUAUUUUCCAUUUUAUCAAGAAAUUUGUAUUCCAUGACAAGCUUUCUAAGUUAGUAAUCGAAUGUGAA